CCUACGGGGUGCAGCAGUGAGGAAUAUUUGUCAAUGGACGAGAGUCUGAACCAGCCAAGUAGCGUGAAGGAUGACUGCCCUAUGGGUUGUAAACUUCUUUUAUAUGGGAAUAAAAUGUUCCACGUGUGGGAUUUUGUAUGUACCAUAUGAAUAAGGAUCGGCUAACUCCUUGCCAGCAGCCGCGGUAAUACGGAGGAUCCGAGCGUUAUCCGGAUUUAUUGGGUUUAAAGGGAGCGUAGGUGGAUUGUUAAGUCAGUUGUGAAAGUUUGCGGCUGAACCGUAAAAUUGCAGUUGAAACUGGCAGUCUUGAGUACAGUAGAGGUGGGCGGAAUUCGUGGUGUAGCGGUGAAAUGCUUAGAUAUCACGAAGAACUCCGAUUGCGAAGGCAGUUCACUGGACUGCAACUGACACUGAGGCUCGAAAGUGUGGGUAUCAAACAGGAUUAGAUACCCUGGUAGUC
rnacentral:rRNA from 1 species